rnacentral:rRNA from 1 species
UACGUAGGGCGCAAGCGUUGUCCGGAAUUAUUGGGCGUAAAGAGCUCGUAGGUGGUCUGUUGCGUCCGCUGUGAAAACCUAAGGCUUAACCUUGGGCCUGCAGUGGAUACGGGCAGACUAGAGGUAGGUAGGGGAGAAUGGAAUUCCCGGUGUAGCGGUGAAAUGCGCAGAUAUCGGGAGGAACACCGGUGGCGAAGGCGGUUCUCUGGGCCUUACCUGACACUGAGGAGCGAAAGCGUGGGAGCGAACAGG